GCCGCGGUGGCGUAGCGGUAGCGUGGGGGCCUGUGGAGCCCCUGGCCCGGGUUCGAAUCCCGGCCGCGGCCCCA
rnacentral:tRNA from 1 species